AUGCUAUGUUCUGUUGCUGAAUCAAAGUUCAUCACUAUGCUAAGUUUAAAAGCUCUCUCCCUUAGCUGGAAUUGUCUUAUGAAGUUAAAUUGCUCACUACCUUAUUUCAUUUUAAAACUUACUUUUCUCGCUAAUUGUCGUAUAAUAAUUUCCUUCAUUGAAUGUAGUACAUUGAAUAAAUUUAAAGAAUUAUGGUACAACCACCUGAACUGGUAUGCCUCUGUUCUAGCCAUCAUGCAGAUUUACUUGCACACUAUUCUGUUUCUACUUUUCAAGUGCCAGCAUUGUACUCCCUAUUAA
rnacentral:rRNA from 1 species